rnacentral:misc_RNA from 1 species
GACCAACGGCAUCUGGAGAAUGGGGAAUAUGAGAAGGCAAAUGCAGAGAAACAACGGUUGGAGAAGCGGCAAAGAAUGUCGAGGAAAUUACAAGAGCAUGGAUGGAAGCCCAGGUGGUUUCAGAGAGAAGGUGAAGAUGGACCUUUCUACUAUGCUGGUGGUUACUGGGAAGCACGAGAACAGGGAAAUUGGGAGGGAUGCCCAAAUAUUUUUGGUGAAUUCAACGAAGAUAUUGCACAAUCCUUUGAAGGGUCUUGACUUUUAUUUAGAAGAAAGAACUGUCACAGAGACGCUGUGCGCAUUAAUUGGUGUGGCUUCCGGAUUCUAGCCACUUACAAGAUCCUGGUCCAAGGCGGCAAGUUUUCCAGCGAGUGAAGAAAGUCAUUUUUUCAUUUUACAGAGGAUAAUAUUUCUUUGUAGCAUAUUAUUUCUAAUUGUCUGCUGUAGGGAUGUUGUUUGUGUAAUGUAGUUUCUCUCUUGUGUAGUUCCUUGAAUUGUACUGGCUAGCGGCUGAUCCUUUUUUUUUU